GCAGAGCAAGGGGAACUUUAGGUCUCAGAGCGAGUGACAUGACCUGAUUGAAACGCUUUUAACUCGGUUACACAUGCACAUGUAUUAGUGAUCCUAAUAUUGGGCCUAAGCUUUCAUGGCUAACCAUCUAACAAUUCGUGUUUGGUGAGGCCAAUGUAGUGAAAGUAAUAUGUGUAACGUUACAAUUGGUUAUAAAAGAGAUUAACUACAAAAAACACUCGGAAUGCAUCAGAUCACCUAUCCCGUUGUUUGAUGUUUGUGUAGAGUUUGGCUCCUUGUUUGCACAUUGAUAGGGGACAUAAGUCAAACUUAAUUUGGUUUAGCACUUACAAGCACUCCUUGUAAUUCUAGUAAUCAAUUAAUUAUUAAACAAAAGUGUACAAUGUAUAGAAUCAAACAUAUUUUUGAUUUACUUGUACUAUCACAAUUUAUUUUAGAACACAAGUGUUAAUUUAUAGGCGGCGGCAUCAUUUCAGGAAGUGGCUUGAUCAGGACUGUGCUUCUGAAACUCUACUUCAUUCAACAGCUUUCCAAGCUGGAGUGAGUAGCUUGGCAAAAUGUUUAUGUAAACAUUCUUUUUUUAGAUGAUUGGAAAUCCAAAAGCAUUAUUCUUCAAUGGAUGAAGUGGAACUGUAAGUACUGCAGAUUUGACACAUCAAAUCAACGCAUCCUUAUUAGACAUUACAAAUUGAAUCAUGGACAUGAUGCAAGAUACAUUGAUGGAUCAAGACUGUCAGUGCACCUUUAAAACAGAAAUAGCACUCAAGAUGCAUUUGACUCAACACUGAAGAAAUGUUCAUGAAACAGUUACUGCUUGUAUAAAAUGUGACCUCUGUAAUUUUUCUGAGCCCUGUAAUGUUAAGCAGUACUUUUCUCAUUUGUGAAGUUAUUUCAACAAUAAGGAUUAUAUGCAAGAAGAGAUUCAGAAAAUAAGUCCUGACUGAGUAACUGUUUCUGCAUCAAUGAUGACUACUUUCUCAUUAACUUUAAGAAGAAAGGAGAUUGUGAUUGACAUCAAAUCUAGAUGGCCAGUGCUGUUCACAGACAGAAAAGUAAGUGCUUAUGUAAAAUCUGCGAAAGGUCCAAUAAGAUUUUCUGUGGUUGUUGAAAUGAACCCUUUCACACAUACCAUCACACGGGUAUGAUCGUUCUACAGUGGUCCCUGAAGCAUACGAUCACACCUGUGUGAUUAGAACACUCGUUUAGAACUGCAGUGUAUAUAUAUAUCAUAACACAAUCAUCCUAACUGGAAAAAUGUAGGCUACAUUUGUCCUAGGCUGAGGAAAGAUUGACCCAACACAAGUCCACCACUGACAUCAAACAUUAUGAGGGGUGUCAGGGUCCGUGGCGAUGACCAUGCUGGCUCCUCAUCUCGGCAAGGGACACACUUUGUACGUGGACAAUUGGUACAGCAGUCCCAUGCACUCGGAAAAGCACCAAGUGGUAUACGAAGAUAUUUUUUCCAUCUGAUCGACAUUGCUGUCCUCAACGGCAGCAUAGUUCACCGCCAACUAACAGGUAAAGUAAUUACCUACCAAAAAUACAGAGAGAACCUCAUGAGAGAGCUGCUGGAGGAGCACCACACCCCUCGGCGCCCAUCCACUGGGGGUCUUCCUGCUGUAGACAAUCCCCUACGCCUCACUGCACGGCAUUUUCCCUGCAAAGUCCCUCAAACUGCUUCUCAAGGUUGCUCUGGAGUUCAUGAGACUGACUGGUGUCUGUGGACCUCAAGAAGACAUUUUAUGAAGGCCUGGACAGUCUUGACAAAGACAGUUCCAAUCAAAGGAAGAGAAACGCUGUGCUCCGAGGCUUGCCAUACUUCCUGCGAGAAGACCCUACCAAUUUUUUUUAAGACGUGAGAAGACAACUGAUUCUGAGGAAGGCACCCGCGGAGUGAAAAUCGGUGUCGUUGUGGAUGGAGCUGAAGCAGGUGACCCAAUGCCAGCUCAUGUGGGUACAUGAGCUUCACAAUGUCCCAAAUGCCUUUGCCACUUUGAUUGGACUUCUUUAAUGUCUGAAUAUGGAUUACUCAAAAUGUUUGAGGUCUACUUUUGAGGUAGUUCAGAAAAUAUUCUUGAAGAUUGGUGCAGAAAACUACAGCAAAGGUCCAUAGGCUGAACCGUCUUCUUCAUUAAGACAACUAAUUAGUGUGUUUUUGUUUUACUCGCAGUAGUUGAGUUCAUUCCUCGGACAACGAUGCUGUUAUUUGCCUAAAUCUUACAAAUCUCCGUUUUGGGAAGUCUUAAGUUACCCUAUUUUUAUGUGUGACCUUCAGUCUACAAACUGAAGGUCAAAAAAGUGCAUUCUGAAAAUGUUUACACCAUGUUAGAUUUUUUCACACUCAACACCAACUUGUCAUAUAAACCGUUCUGAAGGUUGUCAUUUCUCAGUGUUUUAAUUUUUAUUUACCGUGCCAUAACCAUGUUUCAAUAGUUCCAUUUACAAGUGUAUGGGUUUCUUGGACAGUAAAAAAAAAAGUUUGACAAAACAUUUAUCUUUAUAAAAAAAAAUCUUAGGUGAUAUUGGUUAAGACCAAUUAGUGACAGCAGAAUUUGGAUUCCUGUUUAAAUGCACCCAAAGACAUGCACCUAAAAACAUGCAUUGUUAGAUUUUUUUUCUCUCAUGACAAUCAAAAUGCGUUCUAGGGAACAAUACAUCGUUGCAAAUGUAUUUGUUUGUUAAUACAUAGUGUAAUAAAUGUUCUGAAAUACACAAUAGGACUAUUUUGUUGUUAUUACAAGCUAGAUGGAAUUAAUUGAUUUCGAUGUAAGUUGUUGAAUCGAUCAAUGAACUCUUGAUAGUAAAUCAAUCAUUGGAAAUAUAAAGCCAUUUUAAAAUGGAGAUCAGCUUUACUAAAUCUGAACUUUGUUCAACUGUACAUACUGGGUUAUUUUAAGUUUACAUAUCUUAUUAAAGUAAUUUUGUUGAGUUAGAACAGUGGUUCUCUACUUGCAGCCUGUGGCAAGCUUGUCUGUUAUGUCAUUAAUAGUAUAGUUAUUUAUUUGCUUGACUUGCUCAUAGUCACAGUGUAGCACCACCAGCCAAACAGGUUGAGAACUGUUACAAUAACGCAAUGAAGUAGGCUUGACUUUAAUUGUUAAGUCUUUUAAAUGCUCAGAGCCUUUUUCAUGCUCAGAGCACUUAACAUGUCACGUUACCCUUGCUUAGACCAUUCUGUUAUGUAACCUUUAAAUGUAGUAAUGAAAACUGUAUUACUAGUUACAAUAACUUAAUUGCAAGUUGACUUAACAAAAUGUGAAAUUAAUUCAACUAAAAAUGGUCGGUUAUACUGACAUGAUGAUGUGGACUUAAAUGUUUUUUAUUUGUCAACAGUAAUGUAGCUUUAGUUAUUAGAACUCCACAUUUGUUAACAUAAAGGUUUAAGUUUUUUCAAAUAAUGUUAAAUGAACAAUUAACAAAUGUCAAAUUAACCGUCUAUUAUUAGUCAAAAUAAAUGUAAUAAAAGCUAGGGUAACGUGAAGUACUCUGAGCUUGAAAAAGGCAAUGCAACCAGAUCACUGGAAAUAAUAAGUUGAAACAAUAAAUCAUUUUUAUAGCCUACUUGGUCCCUUCGUGACAAUUUCAACCCUUUCA
ensembl:lncRNA